rnacentral:rRNA from 1 species
GAUGAACGCUGGCGGCGUGCCUAAUACAUGCAAGUCGAGCGAACGGACGAGAAGCUUGCUUCUCUGAUGUUAGCGGCGGACGGGUGAGUAACACGUGGAUAACCUACCUAUAAGACUGGGAUAACUUCGGGAAACCGGAGCUAAUACCGGAUAAUAUUUUGAACCGCAUGGUUCAAAAGUGAAAGACGGUCUUGCUGUCACUUAUAGAUGGAUCCGCGCUGCAUUAGCUAGUUGGUAAGGUAACGGCUUACCAAGGCAACGAUGCAUAGCCGACCUGGGAGGGUGGUCGGCCACACUGGAGCGGAGACACCGUCCAGACUCCUACGGGAGGCAGCAGUAGGGAAUCGUCCGCAAUGGGGGAAAGCGUGACGGAGCAGCGCCGCGGGAGUGAUGAAGGUGCUCGGAGCGUAACACUCUGCUAGUAGUGAAGAACAUAUGUGUAAGUAGAUGUGCACAUCUUGACGGUACCUGAUCAGAAAGCAACGGCUAACUACGUG